CCCGGGCAGGCCGGGGGACUGAGUCAUAGUGCUGUACCCCGGAUGGUGCCGCACAGCCCCGGCCCUGAGCUCCACAGACACACCAGGAUCCCUCCUCCUCGCCCGGGCUCCCCUCUACGUGCCAGUCCGGGAGCCGUGCAGAUGGCAGGGGGCAGGCACGGGGAGAGUUUGGCAGCAGGAAGAGCUUUGCUUUCUUCUCGUGUCUAUGAUGAUGAUUUCCGGCUGCAGAUAGGACAUGUAUGACAGUCCCGGGCACUGCUCGCUGUCAUCUCCGGGUGCCGCGCUGCCUCCUCGUUCACACACAACUAGACCAGGAAACAAGAAUAGAGAAAAAACCCAUUAACCACCCACCUCCCCUCCUCCCUCACUGCCUCUUCCCCUCUACAGCUCCUCCUGGGAGGGGGCAUGUCCUUCUCUUGACUCCUCCACCUCCCUCACUCUACUGACUCACUGGUCUUGGUAGCCUGGCAGCUCUGCUCUGUAACCCUUUCCUCUCUGGUUUUAUGCUGUACACACACACACAAUGAUUAUUGAAGAUUGCCUUGUCUCUACCAUCAAAGACAAUAUUGCAAGGCGCACUAUCUACGCUGGAUCGUCCAAGUUUUCAGUACUACGUUCCAUUGCAAAGGUUGGAGGUGUGAUCCAUGCAUCUUGGAUUUGAGCAAUUACUGGUCAG